GCCCUCAUAGCUCAGUGGCUAGAGCACUGGUCUUGUAAACCAGGGGUCGGGAGUUCAAUUCUCCCUGGGGGCA
rnacentral:tRNA from 1 species